rnacentral:rRNA from 1 species
AGCCAGACUCCUACGGGAGGCAGCAGUGGGGAAUAUUGCACAAUGGGGGAAACCCUGAUGCAGCGACGCCGCGUGAGCGAUGAAGUAUUUCGGUAUGUAAAGCUCUAUCAGCAGGGAAGAAGAUGACGGUACCUGACUAAGAAGCCCCGGCUAACUACGUGCCAGCAGCCGCGGUAAUACGUAGGGGGCAAGCGUUAUCCGGAUUUACUGGGUGUAAAGGGAGCGUAGACGGCGAUGCAAGCCAGAUGUGAAAGCCCGGGGCUCAACCCCGGGACUGCAUUUGGAACUGUGUGGCUGGAGUGUCGGAGAGGCAGGCGGAAUUCCUAGUGUAGCGGUGAAAUGCGUAGAUAUUAGGAGGAACACCAGUGGCGAAGGCGGCCUGCUGGACGAUGACUGACGUUGAGGCUCGAAAGCGUGGGGAGCAAACAGGAUUAGAUACCCGAGUAGU